UUCUCUCUUAAUCGUGAGAGAGAGAAAAAAGCUCUCUUUUCUAUCUCUCUUCAACAUCACCAUUUUCUGGUUCUUCAUUUUCAACUCUCUCAUCUUCAUCAUUGAUGUUGAUUAUGGUAUUUCCUCUCUCCCAACACAAAAUUUCCAUCUUUAUGAAGAUUACUCAUCAUUAAAUCCAGAGUUAACUCAUUUUUAACUUCAUAACUCUCCAUUGAUAGUAUUUGAUGAAAAGAAACCCCGUAUGAGAAAUUGAAAAUUGUGGUUCAAGGUCGACUAUUAUUCGAUUCUCCAUCAAACGACAACUUACCAACGAAAGAAGCCGGAAAAAGCCAAAAGAAUUGUAUCAAUGGAGAGCAUUGUGCUUUUUGGAUAAUUCCACUAAGGCCCAAGCUGUGAUAUUGAUCCAAGAGUGAUUGUUGUGUUGAAACACGUGGAUCAACGAUUGCCACAUAGCAACUGAAGGCUUUAACACGUACGAGUGAUUUCACGGCGAGGAAGAACAUAGAUGUCUAAUGCCAACGAUUGAAGAAGAAAGUAACUACUGAUCAAGCAUGCAAGUUGAUAAAAGAGAAGAAGAAGACACAAAGUGUUAAUGUAGUUCUACAACUAAGCCUACAUCCAAAGAGAGGAGCUCGAAUUGAAGAUUUCUUGGAGAAAUACAAGAUACAAAAGAGAUUUUUUUUCUUUGAUUUUUUUUACUCUACAUACACACACACACACACACACACACACACACAUAUAUAUAUAUAUAUAUAUAUAUUUAUUUAUUUUAGAUCCUUUAUAUAUAAGAUGAGUUACAUGUUAGGUAUGAGAGAAAUAACAAAAAGUAAAGGUUGAUUUUACAGUUACUAUUUUUAACAAAUCUUCACCUUGAAAUUAAAAUUUACUUAGAAUCAGCUCCUCUGCUCUAAUCGCUUUGUUUCUAACCUUUCUCAGGUAGCUCAAGUUCGAUGAUGUGAAGGCAUUUCUGGAGUUUGAGCUGAGCGACUGUCUUGAUUUGGUCGGCCAGCUCCGUCAUGGCAUUCAACUCAUCGUCCAACUCGUUCCGGUCGUGGAGGUGGGUUAUUAACAUCAGAUUAGUAGAUUUAGUCAUGGGCUUUUUUGAUCCGGUCAUCUAUUUGCCUGAUCUACUUGUGGGUCUUCCAAUCCGAUCGUCAGCAUGGUGAUUCAGCUCUGUUUGGAAGGUCUGCAUGUCAAAGUUGAUGCCCUAAAUUUUGC